UACUGCCUUCCUUCCUUUCCCUUGCUUGCAGCAUAUCCAUCCAUAAUGAUUUUCAUCGUGGAACAACUCAUGCUCCUCAUUUCUACUGCCCUCAGUUACCUUUCUACACUUUUCUCCCCUCAUCCUCGCCAAUGUUAUGACCUUACUCUCAUCAUCCACCAGAACAACGCCCCACCCAACCAAGUCUACGAAGCGGCCCAACUCUACCUCCCCACCAUUGACUUGAUCAAUCCCACCACCCGAACCAUCCAAGUCAGCAAAACGCCGCGCCAAGAAACCGUCAAGCUUGCCAUCGACAGCGGUGAGCAGAUCGUCGACACCUUUGAGGACAUUAACCUCAACUGGCUCUACGUGGUCCAAACAUUCCCGACCGGCCAGGUAACACGUCGCUUCGAGCUAACCUUCCACAAGAAACACAAAGACAAAGUCCUGACCUCCUACUUGCGCCAUGUGGUUACUCGGGCUGAAGCCAUUAAAAAAGAGGAAAAGAUUCUCAAACUUCGUAGCGUUAACUCACCAUCACGAGUGGAUCUGGAGCACCCAGCCACGUUCGAGACGAUCGCCAUGGAGCCCGACCAGAAGACAAAGAUUAUCAAGGACUUGGACAGAUUUGUGAGGAGGAGGGAGUUUUAUAAGAAGGUUGGGAAGGCCUGGAAAAGAGGCUACUUGUUGUAUGGCCCUCCUGGCACUGGCAAGUCGAGCUUGAUUGCAGCCAUGGCUAAUCAUCUCAAGUUUGACGUGUAUGAAUUGGAGCUCGACGGUAUUUGCAGUGACUCUCAGUUGAAGAGAGUGUUGCUAUCCACUAAAAAUCGUUCUAUUUUGGUGAUUGAGGAUAUUGAUUGCACCGUCCGUGACAUGCAAGACCGGAAAUCGGAGCAGCCCACGGUUAGUACAUACUCUUUUUUUAUAUGUAGAUUUUUUUGGGGCAUUCACAUAGUGUUCUGUUGAUAUUUGCAGUUCACACUCUCAGGCCUGCUAAACUUCAUGGAUGGUCUGUGGUCAAGCUGCGGUGACGAGAGAAUUAUUGUGUUCACAACAAAUCACAAGGAUCGGCUUGAGCCUGCACUGUUGCGUCCUGGUCGAAUGGACGUCCACAUUCACAUGUCGUAUUGCACUCCGCAUGCGUUUAGGGUCUUGGCCUCCAACUACCUUGGCAUUCAAGACUUGAAUCAUCAUGGCCUUUACGGAGAAAUCACAGGCUUGCUAGAGAGCACAGAGGUCACCCCUGCUGAGGUCUGUGAGCAACUGUUGAAGAGAGAUGAUGAUGUUGACGACGAUGAUGCUGAUGCUGCUCUUGCUGGACUUGUCAACUUUCUCAAACUCAAGAAGCUUGAAGAGACUAAUAAUAUUGAUAAACCAGAAACUCAAGAAGGAUCUCAAUAUUUGGUUGAGCUUGAGACAUGGUUGUUCAAGGGAAUAAGGGGAUUGAGAAUUGUUGAUUUUCAAUUCACGCUCUCGGGCCUACUAAACUUCAUGGAUGGUCUGUGGUCAAGUUGCGGUGAUGAAAGAAUUAUUGUGUUCACAACAAACCACAAGGAUGACGAUGAUGAUGCUGCUCUUGUAAGAGUUGUCAAGGUCACCCCUGCUGAGAUUUGUGAGGAAGUACUGAAGAAAAAUGACGAGGACGAGGACGACGAUGAUGAUGCGGCUCUCGAAAGAGUUGUCGACCUUCUCAAACUUGAAGGGACUAAUAGUAUUGAAAAGACAGAAAUGCAAGCAGAAAAAAGGCAGGAAAAUGGAUCUCAAAAUCCCCCAACAAGAACAUCUCCUUCUUCUUCUUCUUCUUCUUCUCAACCUCUGCCUUGCUUACCCUGCAUCCAUCCAUCCGCCAUGAAUUUCAUCGUGGAGGAACUCAUGCUUUUCAUUUCCACUGCCCUCAAUUACCUUGCUACCCUUUUCUACCCUGGCCAUUAUCAUCAUGACCUCACUUUCAUCAUCCGCCAGAAGAGCACGCCACCCAACCAAGUCUACGACGCCGCCGAGCUCUACCUCCCAUCCAUCGAGUUGAUCAAUCCCUCCACUCGUACUAUCGGCGUCAGCAAAACACCGCGGCAAGAAGCCGUCAAGCUUGCCAUGGAAAGCGGUGAGCAGAUCGCCGACACCUUUGAGGACAUUAACCUCAACUGGCUCUACGUGGUCCAAACAUUCCCGACCGGCCAGGUAACACGUCGCUUCGAGCUAACCUUCCACAAGAAACACAAAGACAAAGUCCUGACCUCCUACUUGCGCCAUGUGGUUACUCAGGCUGAAGCCAUUAAAAAAGAGGAAAAGAUUCUCAAACUUCGUAGCGUUAACUCACCAUCACGAGUGGAUCUGGAGCACCCAGCCACGUUCGAGACGAUCGCCAUGGAGCCCGACCAGAAGACAAAGAUUAUAAAGGACUUGGACAGGUUUGUGAGGAGGAGGGAGUUUUAUAAGAAGGUGGGCAAGGCUUGGAAAAGAGGCUACUUGUUGUAUGGCCCUCCUGGCACUGGCAAAUCCAGCUUGAUUGCAGCCAUGGCUAAUCAUCUCAAGUUUGACGUGUAUGAAUUGGAGCUUGAUGGUAUUUACAGUGACUCUCAAUUGAAGAGCGUGUUACUGUCCACUGCAAAUCGUUCUAUUUUGGUCAUUGAGGAUAUUGAUUUCAGCGCCGUUAAUGCUCGAAAACGAAAGUGCCGGAUCACGGUCUCAGGCCUGCUAAACUUCAUGGAUGGUCUGUGGUCGAGCUGCGGUGACGAGAGAAUUAUUGUGUUCACAACAAACCACAAGGAUCGGCUUGAGCCUGCAUUACUGCGUCCUGGUCGAAUGGACGUCCACAUUCACAUGUCUUAUUGCACUCCGUAUGCGUUUAAGGUUUUGGCCUCCAACUACCUUGGUGUUCAGGACUUGGACCGUCAUCCUCUUUAUGGAGAAAUCGCGGGGUUGCUAGAGAGCACAGAGGUCGCCCCUGCUGAGGUUUGUGAGGAGCUAUUGAAGAGAGAUGAUGAUGUUGACGAUGAUGAUGUUGAUGCUGCUCUCGAAGGAGUUGUCAAAUUUCUCAAACUCAAGAAGCUUGAAGGGGAUAAUAAUAAUAUUGAUGAACCAGAAUUUCAAGAAGGAAAAAGGCAGGAUGUGGAUGUCAGUGUUAACGAUGACGACAGUGAGAGCUCAAGCACCUAAAAUAACGAUGACGACAGUGAUAGGCAAUAGAAUAAGUUGCAUCUUCCGAUGGCCUAGCUAGUCCCUCUGGCUUUAAGUACUUUUGUCUUUGAGUUUUGAGUACUUUUGUAUUUGGUUUUGUUUGGUGUUAUGUUUCUCCUUUCUGUUUGGCUAUCCUUGCGGGGUGCUAUGCUAUCCUUGUUAUGUUUAUUAUAUGUCCUCGUCUCGCUCUCCUUCUAGCAGAAUUGAUAUGGGUAGAUGGUCCUGGUAUUUAUCCAGAAAAUUUGGUGGGCCGAAAAUGAAAUUUCACAUUUUGAGAUUUA